rnacentral:rRNA from 1 species
UACAGAGGUCUCAAGCGUUUGUUCGGAAUUACUGGGCGUAAAGAGCGCGCAGGCGGUCGUUCAAGUCGCGUGUGAAAGCCCCCGGCUCAACUGGGGAGGGUCACGCGAUACUGAUCGACUCGAAGGCAGGAGAGGGAAGUGGAAUUCCCGGUGUAGUGGUGAAAUGCGUAGAUAUCGGGAGGAACACCAGUGGCGAAGGCGACUUCCUGGCCUGUUCCUGACGCUGAGGCGCGAAAGCUAGGGGAGCAAACGGG